AUGAACGCUGGCGGCGUGCCUAAUCCCUGCAAGUCGAGCGAACAGAUGAGGAGCUUGCUCCUCUGACGUUAGCGGCGGACGGGUGAGUAACACGUGGAUAACCUACCUAUAAGACUGGGAUAACUUCGGGAAACCGGAGCUAAUACCGGAUAAUAUAUUGAACCGCAUGGUUCAAUAGUGAAAGACGGUUUUGCUGCCACUUAUAGAUGGAUCCGCGCCGCAUUAGCUAGUUGGUAAGGUAACGGCUUACCAAGGCAACGAUGCGUAGCCGACCUGAGAGGGUGAUCGGCCACACUGGAACUGAGACACGGUCCAGACUCCUACGGGAGGCAGCAGUAGGGAAUCUUCCGCAAUGGGCGAAAGCCUGACGGAGCAACGCCGCGUGAGUGAUGAAGGUCUUCGGAUCGUAAAACUCUGUUAUUAGGGAAGAACAAAUGUGUAAGUAACUAUGCACGUCUUGACGGUACCUAAUCAGAAAGCCACGGCUAACUACGUG
rnacentral:rRNA from 1 species